AUUGAUAUGGCUGAGUUGGUCUAAGGUGCUAAAUUAAGAUUUUGGUCCGAAAGGGCGUGGGUUCAAAACCACUAUCAACA
rnacentral:tRNA from 1 species